AUCCUUUUGUGGUUCAUAUGAGUGAUGAUUGGGUGGGCACAUGUUUGUGUGGCAUGUUCCUCCAUUUAAACCUUGUUAUAUCAUCUGACAUGAGAAAAAUGACA
ensembl:snoRNA